AUCACCCACCAAUCUCCAGCCAGUGUAGUCGCCGAAAUCCUCAAAGAACGGAUGUUUGGUGGCAUUAUAGAGGCUUCAGAUCCACGCCUGCUUGCCCUCACUGGUCUUCUAGCCAGUUCUACUAAGGAGCAAGCAGCGUUCCGAUCUCGACCUCGGGAGGAGCUCGGGGAUAUGAUUAGGGAGAUGCUUCUGAUGGUAAGUCGUCUUUCUGUUUCCUUUCUGGCUUUCUUUAUUUCUUUCUUCUGAUGGUUGUCUUUUUGUACUAGGUGACGGGCCUCUUCAUGGAGGUG
rnacentral:lncRNA from 1 species